UACGUAGGGUGCGAGCGUUGUCCGGAAUUAUUGGGCGUAAAGAGCUUGUAGGCGGUCUGUCGCGUCUGCUGUGAAAAUCCGGGGCUCAACCCCGGACUUGCAGUGGGUACGGGCAGACUAGAGUGUGGUAGGGGGAGACUGGAAUUCCUGGUGUAGCGGUGAAAUGCGCAGAUAUCAGGAGGAACACCGAUGGCGAAAGGGCA
rnacentral:rRNA from 1 species